rnacentral:RNase_P_RNA from 2 species
UGAGUCGGUCAGGCGGUCGCGUCAUCCGGGAGCCCGGCUUCGGCCGGUAUGCCGGGUGCCGAGGAACGUCCGGACUCCGAAGGGCAGGGUGGUGGCUAACAGCCACCCGGAGCAAUCCGCGGGACAGUGCCACAGAAAAUAGACCGCCUCCCCGAACCGCUGGGUCGCCCAGUAGGCGGAGAGGUCAGGGUGAAACGGUGGUGUAAGAGACCACCAGCGACCUGGGUGACCAGGCCGGCUCGGUAAACCCCACCCGGAGCAAGCUCAGACAGCAGGCGUUUGAGGGCGGCCCGCCCGAUGCCUGCGGGUAGAGCGCUAGAGCUGGCCAGCAAUGGUCAGCCGAGAUGGAUGACCGUCGCUGUGCCUGCUGUAAAAGGCUGGCGCAGAACAGAAUCCGGCGUAUCGACCGACUCAUCCA